rnacentral:tRNA from 1 species
CGGCGACGUCAGGCCGAGCGCUUCGGCCUCCUCCUUGUCAGGGAUGGUGAUCGUGUGCAGGAGCAUCCUGCCGUCGUCGG